rnacentral:rRNA from 1 species
GACGGAGGGUGCAAGCGUUAUCCGGAUUCACUGGGUUUAAAGGGUGCGUAGGCGGACAGGUAAGUCAGUGGUGAAAUCUCUGGGCUUAACCCAGAAACUGCCGUUGAUACUAUUUGUCUUGAAUAUCCUGGAGGUAGGCGGAAUAUGUCAUGUAGCGGUGAAAUGCUUAGAUAUGACAUAGAACACCGAUAGCGAAGGCAGCUUACUACAGGAUGAUUGACGCUGAGGCACGAAAGCGUGGGGAGCAAACAGG